GCCAGACUCCUACGGGAGGCAGCAGUGAGGAAUAUUGGUCAAUGGGCGGGAGCCUGAACCAGCCAAGUCGCGUGAGGGAAGACGGUCCUAUGGAUUGUAAACCUCUUUUGUCGGGGAGCAAAGAGGCCACGUGUGGUCAAAAGCGAGAGUACCCGAAGAAAAAGCAUCGGCUAACUCCGUGCCAGCAGCCGCGGUAAUACGGAGGAUGCGAGCGUUAUCCGGAUUUAUUGGGUUUAAAGGGUGCGUAGGCGGGAUGCCAAGUCAGGGGUCAAAUACGGGGGCUCAACCUGCGUCCGCCGUUGAAACUGGCGUUCUUGAGUGGGCGAGAAGUACGCGGAAUGCGUGGUGUAGCGGUGAAAUGCAUAGAUAUCACGCAGAACCCCGAUUGCGAAGGCAGCGUACCGGCGCCCGACUGACGCUGAAGCACGAAAGCGUGGGUAUCGAACAGGAUUAGAUACCCCUGUAGC
rnacentral:rRNA from 1 species